UUUUCCUGGAAUUAUUCAGUCGUCGAGAAGACGAUCCGAGAGCCAGUCGAUAACAACAUAUAACAGUGAAGAUGUGUCAAGCCACUCAAAACGUAAGUCUGUGAGCUUCAGGAAAUCGUCCUUCUUGGAUAAUUGAGAGUCAGGCAGAGUAUUCACAGGACCCCGGCCAUCCCGGCUAAACACAAUGGACGUAAGUAGUACAGGUAGGUAAAACAGUAAAUCGUGUUAUGCUUGGCCGUAAACCCUACACUGUUUGAUUGCCAGGUUCUUCUCGCAUAUUCUGGUAGCUCUAAUGCAAUGGAAGAUGAUGAUCACUUCUUCAUAUCUUCAUAAGUUGACAAACGA